CAUUUGAAUACCUGCUAUAAAUAUCAAUAAUACGCAGUAAUUACUUUGUAGUGGAGUAAACUAAUUUAUUAGCAUUUAUGUUUAUAUGUCUUUUUUUUUUUUACAAGGAUUACUUCUCACAAAUCACAUCCCUCGGACUCCGCCAUUUAACGAAUCAGGGUCUGCGGCAAGAGGACCUUCCGAUUCUUAAGCUGUUUCAGGAGGUCCAAUCCCAGGGCACAAAGCUCACUCAGCUCAGGAAGAGAGCCAGCGGACGUGGGAAGGGCAGGCAAGAACCUGAGCACAUCAGGUCCCUUGUCCCAGGUUCUCCAAGCUUUCCCAGGUGUAAGACUCCACAAGCAUCCGUGAGCGGGCAGAAGAAACAGCUAGAACCCGUGUCCUCAGGAUGUUGGCUGCUAAAGCCAGUUUCUAAGGCCCCUGUUCCAGCCUGGCCAGCCCUGUUCGCUAACGAAGAAACCUAGUUCCUGCAUCUGAAGCCCUAGUGGAAGGACAGUAGCUGGGCACACAGCUCGGCCCUGAACGGGGACUUGCUCUGCUUCUGCUUCUUCUCUUGUUCCCACAUAAAUAAAGAGUAACCCCU
rnacentral:lncRNA from 1 species